rnacentral:rRNA from 1 species
UACGGGGGGAGCAAGCGUUGUUCGGAUUUACUGGGCGUAAAGGGCGCGUAGGCGGUCAGCACAAGUCAGUUGUGAAAUCUCCGGGCUUAACUCGGAAAGGUCAACUGAUACUGUGCGACUAGAGUGCGGAAGGGGCAACUGGAAUUCUCGGUGUAGCGGUGAAAUGCGCAGAUAUCAGGAGGAACACCGGUGGCGAAGGCGGGUCUCUGGGCCGAUAUCGACGCUGAGGAGCGAAAGCGUGGGGAGCGAACAGG